UUUCUCAAUGGGCGAAAGCAUGAAGGAGCGACGCCGCGUGGGGGAUGAAGGGCUUCGGCCCGUAAACCCCUGUCAUUUGCGAACAAGUGCCAUGGUUGAACAUUCCAUGGCUUGAUUGUAGCGAAAGAGGAAGGGACGGCUAACUCUGUGCCAGCAGCCGCGGUAAUACAGAGGUCCCAAGCGUUGUUCGGAUUCACUGGGCGUAAAGGGUGCGCAGGUGGGUUGGCAAGUUUGAUGUGAAAGCCCCGGGCUUAACCCGGGAAUGGCAUUGAAUACUGCUGAUCUGGAGGAUCGGAGGGGGGACUGGAAUUCUUGGUGUAGCAGUGAAAUGCGUAGAUAUCAAGAGGAACACCAGUGGCGAAGGCGAGUCCCUGGACGAUACCUGACACUGAGGCACGAAAGCCAAGGGAGCAAACAGGAUUAGAUACCCUGGUAGUCUUGGCUGUAAACGGUGCGCAUUUGCUGUAAACGGGAUCGACCCCGUUUGUGGCGAAGUAACGCGAUAAAUGCGCCGCCUGGGAAGUACGGUCGCAAGAUUAAAACUCAAAGAAAUUGACGGGGGCCUGCACAAGCGGUGGAGUAUGUGGCUUAAUUCGAUGCAACGCGAAGAACCUUACCUGGCCUUGACAUGCAUGUGGUAGAACCAUGAAAGUGGGACGACCCCGCAAGGGAGAGCAUGCACAGGUGCUGCAUGGCUGUCGUCAGCUCGUGUCGUGAGAUGUUGGGUUAAGUCCCGCAACGAGCGCAACCCUUGUGUCCUGUUGCCACUCCCUCGAGAGAGGGAAGCACUCUGGACAGACUGCCUCGCUUAAACGAGGAGGAAGGUGGGGAUGACGUCAAGUCAGUAUGGCCCUUACGGCCAGGGCUGCACACGUACUACAAUGCAUGGCACAAAGGGAAGCUAGACCGUCAGGUGGAGCAAAUCCCAAAAAAUCCAUGUCCUGUUCAGAUUGUCGUCUGCAACUCGACGACAUCAAGCCGGAAUCGCU
rnacentral:rRNA from 1 species